AAUGAACGUUGGCGGCGUGGAUUAGGCAUGCAAGUCGGACGGGUCCGGCCUUCGGGCCGGGCCAGUGGCGGAAGGGUGAGUAAGGCGACGGUAACCAACCCCAUGGUCGGGUAUAACCGCGGGAAACUGCGGGUAAUCCCCGGCGACGCGCCGGCCCGGCAUCGGGCCGGCACCAAAGCUAUGGCCCCGUGGGACGGGCCGUCGUGGUAUUAGCUAGUUGGCGGGGUGAUGGCCCACCAAGGCCGUGAUGCCUACCGGGCGUGCGAGCGCGGCCCGGCACACUGGGACUGAGACACUGCCCAGACUCCUACGGGAGGCUGCAGUCGAGAAUCUUCGGCAAUGGGCGCAAGCCUGACCGAGCGACGCCGCGUGGGGGACGAAGGCCCUCGGGUUGUAAACCCCUGUCGAGGGGGAGGAAGGUCGGGCGACCGGCUUGACCGAUCCCUGGAGGAAGCACGGGCUAAGUUCGUGCCAGCAGCCGCCGUAAGAC
rnacentral:rRNA from 1 species